AUUGUCAGUGUCAUCUGCCACUGUCAUUUUGUAAGGAAGUCUAGUUUUUCUUCAUGCAAUGAAGCCUUCAGAAUGAACCUGAAAACAGCACAAUUUUACCAACAGAGAGGAUGUGAGGGCAUGUGAGAAAAAUAGAGAGGAUUCCUCCAGCACAAUCCCUUCAGGGUCAUCUUUACAACCUGCUUUUUUAGCUGAAAAAAUAAAAAUAAAUAGCACAAAACUCACAACCUCCCCCAAAACAAACAAUUGCAAAAUAAAAUGAAAACCUUCCUCCAAAUCGAAAACAAAAGCAAGACUCUGAAAGAUGAACUAAAGUACCUGAAAUAGUUUAGAGAAGGAAAACAGAAUAUACUAUUCCUUAGCAAAGAGUAAAACCAAAUAAUCAGGAUUCCUCCUUUAUAUCCAACGGACAGGAUAAUAUGUUUUGAUGCAGUACAUAGCAGAUAUGAUUUCAGGGCAUGAACUGCAAAAAGGUUUGGUGGCUGUGAUUUUCUUGUGAAAGAUUGAAGUUCAUGUUACUGCAAAGUGUGUCACAAGACCCUAUUCACCCUUGGUGCAGCUCCAAACUCAUCCUGAUGAAGAAUUUCUAUUAUUUGCACUAGCUCUCUCUGUGGCAUGCCUGAAUUGUCUUCCCAUGCUGAAAGAUGGUGUCAUGUACUUUUAUGUGGAUUGCUCUUACAGAGAGAUAAACUCAGUUUGGAAGUUUGGAAGACCAAGCCCAUGGAGCUUUGCACUGAGCUGCUUUCAAUCCAUCCAAGAAUCAUUUUUCCUUGCCAGGUCUUGAAUUUAGAUGACAUUAACAGAUCUCAUUCAUUAACUACUUCCAUUUCUAUCUGCAUAAUGGUACUCAAUGACAGAGUUUUGAAAUGCCUAGGUUACCAGUCCCAGGUCUAGGAAUCCAGCCCUUCUUUUGCUUGAUGCUGAUUCUAAAUGACAGGGUAUCUGAGUCAGUCUUCCUCAAUAUAUGGCUGCAGUAAGUAUUACUGUAAAUAAAAAAGGUUAAUGCCAUACUGCUGAAUGACUG
rnacentral:lncRNA from 1 species